rnacentral:rRNA from 1 species
UACGGAGGGUGCAAGCGUUAAUCGGAAUUACUGGGCGUAAAGCGCACGUAGGCGGAUUGUUAAGUCGGGGGUGAAAUCCUGGAGCUCAACUUCAGAAUUGCCUUCGAUACUGGCUUUCUAGAGGCUGGAAGAGGUUAGUGGAAUUCCCAGUGUAGAGGUGAAAUUCGUAGAUAUUGGGAAGAACACCAGUGGCGAAGGCGGCUAACUGGUCCAGAUCUGACGCUGAGGUGCGAAAGCGUGGGGAGCAAACAGG